UCGGCGUGGAUUAGGCAUGCGAGUCGCGCGAGAAUGUAGCAAUACAGGAAAGCGGCGAAAGGGAGAGGACAACAUGGGAAUCUGCCCGGGGGUCGGGGAUAGCUACGGGAAACUGUAGGUAAUACCCGAUAAUGUUUACGGACCAAAGGUUUACUGCCCCUGGAUGAGCCCAUGCCCCAUUAGCUUGUUGGCGGUGUAAUAGACCACCAAGGCGAUGAUGGGUAGCUGGUGUGAGAGCACGACCAGCCUCACUGGCACUGAGACACUGGCCAGACACCUACGGGUGGCUGCAGUCGAGAAUCUUCGGCAAUGGACGAAAGUCUGACCGAGCGACGCCGCGUGCGGGAUGAAGGCCUUCGGGUUGUAAACCGCUGUCGAGGGGGAUUAAGGGCAACUUGAAUGAACCCUGGAGGAAGGAGAGGCUAAGCUCGUGCCAGCAGCCGCGGUAAGACGAGCUCUCCAAACGUUAUUCGGUAUCACUGGGCUUAAAGAGUUCGUAGGCGGCUUUGUAGGUGGGGUGUGAAAGCCCUCGGCUCAACCGAGGAAUUGCGCCCCAAACCGCAGGGCUUGAGGGAUAUAGGGGUAAGCGGAACAGAUGGUGGAGCGGUGAAAUGCAUUGAUAUCAUCUGGAACACCGGUGGCGAAAGCGGCUUACUGGAUAUUUUCUGACGCUGAGGAACGAAAGCUAGGGUAGCGAACGGGAUUAGAUACCCCGGUAGUCCUAGCCGUAAACGAUGA
rnacentral:rRNA from 1 species